GUGACGGGUGAGGCAAAGGCAGUGCACCUAAAGACUGAGUCCCUACAGAAACUCUUGCGGAAGGAGAGCACGUUCCGGCUCGACGUGGCCUGGCACCGAGUGAAACGAGGUCGACGCAUGAAGACAAGGCCUGAACGGCCAGGUGAUAGAAGAUUUGAGAAGCCAUAUGGGAUAGAUAUUAGCAGUAACAAGAAGAUGCCACCACAGAAGGGACAAAGGAAAGGGAUGGUUACCAGAGCCCAGAAGCUGAGACCACUGAGUGGGAGUCGGGACUGCGGGUCAAUGCAGCCACUGCAGGAGGAUGCUGCCUGAGAAAGAGCGAGGGAGAAGCAACCAGGACAACUGUAAAAAGGAAGCCUGGAGGCACGCAAUGGGUCAGGUUAUUUCAGGAUCUACUCCAGAAACCUAGACAUACUGGAAUUGAAAAUCUGCCUGACCACCCCAGCUGGAAUUACUUCUUCCUUCUUGGAAUUGAUGGAGCAGGACUUCGACGCUCAUUUGGCACAUCUGUGUUCAUUUAUUCAUUCAUUCCGAAAUAUUUUCUGAACACCCUUUGUUCAGUAUCAUGCAGAGUGAGAAGGGAGUGGGCCAGAUUUGAGGAAUGGGCAGGAAGUAGAGAGGACGUGCAGAUGAGGAGGGAGCGGAGACUAAUACCGAACAUAGGGGCUUUCCUCUCAACGGAUUUCGGGGUACAUUACGAUACACCUGAUUACUAAUAUCUCUUGCACAAAUGAUAAAUAUUCAUUACACACAUACACAAUCUAAGUAUAAAUGCUGAAACAGAAAAAUCAGUUGGGCAAACAGAUGAGAAGCACAAGUCUUGGAGAGAUGAUUGAACAUUUUGUUUUUUCCCCUGGUUGAUAAUGAAGCUGUUUUUGAAUGUCAGUUUCAACCAAUCUCUUACCUCCUCUACAGCCACUCUAGAGUAAUAGUGGGGAAAUGGUAAGCUUCUGGAUUUGAUUCUUCUUUGUCAAGCACAAAUUAUCCUGAGAACAUAAAUUACAUCAGUCACUUUUUUUCCCCCAGGGAAAGCCUUAAGGAGGAAAUUAAGUUGGAAAACAUGAUGCCAGUAAUUUUCUACACGUAAAUGAUUAGUGAUUAAAUAAGCAUUGAGAGUAGAAGUAUUAGGGAAAAGAAAAUAGUUUGAAUAUUAUUGGUGCCCCUACUCUAUUGGAGUGCUUAUAAAACUUGUGACAAAGCCAAAAUGAAAGGGAAAACAUUCUUUUUUUUU